AUUGAACGCUGGCGGCAUGCCUAACACAUGCAAGUCGAACGGUAACAGGAAGCAGCUUGCUGCUUCGCUGACGGGGGGCGGGCGGGUUAGUUAUGUCUGGGCAGCUGCCUGGGGGAGGGGUAUAACUACUGGAAACUGUUACUAAUACCGCAUAAUGUCGCAAGACCAAGGAGGGGGACCUUCGGCCCUCUUGCCAUCGGAUGUGCCCAGAUGGGAUUAGCUUGUUGGUGGGGUAACGGCUCACCAAGGCGACGAUCCCUAGCUGGUCUGAGAGGAUGACCAGCCACACUGGAACUGAGACACGGUCCAGACUCCUACGGGAGGCAGCAGUGGGGAAUAUUGCACAAUGGGCGCAAGCCUGAUGCAGCCAUCCCGCGUGUAUGAUGAAGGCCUUCGGGUUGUAAAGUACUUUCAGCGGGGAGGAAGGGAGUAAAGCUAAUACCUUUGCUCAUUGACGUUACCCGCAGAAGAAGCACCGGCUAACUACGUG
rnacentral:rRNA from 1 species